AAUACGUCAGCGGCAGACGGGUGAGUAACACGUGGGAACGUACCUUUUGGUUCGGAACAACUGAGGGAAACUUCAGCUAAUACCGGAUAAGCCCUAACGGGGAAAGAUUUAUCGCCGAAAGAUCGGCCCGCGUCUGAUUAGCUAGUUGGUGAGGUAAUGGCUCACCAAGGCGACGAUCAGUAGCUGGUCUGAGAGGAUGAUCAGCCACACUGGGACUGAGACACGGCCCAG
rnacentral:rRNA from 1 species